rnacentral:rRNA from 1 species
CCUACGGGACGCAGCAGUGGGGAAUAUUGGGCAAUGGGCGGAAGCCUGACCCAGCAACGCCGCGUGAAGGAAGAAGGCUUUCGGGUUGUAAACUUCUUUUGACAGGGAAGAGCAGAAGACGGUACCUGCAGAGGAAGCCACGGCUAACUACGUGCCAGCAGCCGCGGUAAUACGUAGGUGGCAAGCGUUGUUCGGAAUAACUGGGCGUAAAGGAUGCGUAGGCGGUUAAACAAGUUAUAUGUUAAAUAUAUAGGCUUAACCUGUAGAAAGCAUAUAAAACUGUUUAACUAGAGU